UAAUUAGGUCACAGUAUGGAGGAUAUGAGAUUCAAGUCUCAUUUACAGAAAAAUGGGGUAAAGAGGAAUACACGGGAAAAAAAGACAUGCUCGAAGACUUAUUUAAACAUAGAACACCUUUAUUGCCCUGCUCUUAUUUUUGGCCUCUGAUUUAAUUACAACCACUGACUGAACCAGAUGGCACAACGGAGAGUCAUACGCACAUACAAUAUCAAGUUGAAGUCUAUUUACACAUAUUAGUAAUAAUGGAGUCUGGAUCUGCUGAUGAAGAUGCAGAGAGUCUGUUCCAAAAUCUUAAAUUAAAAAGAAAGCGUUUAAAUCAUUUAAUGACUAAUGAUGGAUAUUUCAAAUCUGAUGGUUGUCCAACAACAGAUGGUUCUGAUAGUGGGUACAUAAGUAGUGAAUGUUUAAGCUUAGAUAUUAAGAAGAUUAAAGACAGACAAAACAUUUUCAAGCCUCCACUCAACACUGCAGUUAGGCCUUUAUUACCAAAUAGUACCCACUGUCAUGUCAGGGGCAGUAUUUCAUCUGUCUCAUUAGACCAAAAAGAUUCUCAUUCUUCAAUUUGUGUGAAAUCUCCAAAAAGAGACAAAUCAUUUUCUCAAGAAGACCUGUCAAAAUUGUGCACCUUGCCAUCUUCUCAGUAUGUUUCUGUACCAGGAUUGUUUAUUGUUCCUGGACAUAAAAAUAUAUUAGGUCAUCCAUUGACACCUUGUCCAGUAACUCUAGCUCAGGAAGGUGAUGGCAAUACACAGCAGCCUGAAGUACACCUUCUAUCAGCUCUCCCUAAAGGAUAUGUCUUAGCCAUGGUGCCAGAAAGUAAGAGUUUGGAUCUAGUUAGUCAGGGUAUUAGACCUGUUGUGAGCAAGAUGUCUAAAAGCUUGCUGGCUGAAAAGCUUAACCAGAAACAACAAAAUGGCCCAGAUCUGACCUGUAAUAAGGAAAAGAAACAAGAUUAUUCUUUUAUUCAUCAUUAUAUUAACAAUGAAUUUGAAUAUAGUGGUGUUUUAAAGGAAAAUGAAACAGAUUCCUUAAAUACAUCUACAGAUAAAACAGACUCUGAUACCUCAGACCAACUACUUUGUGCUAUCUGCAGUGACAAGGCUUCUGGAAUUCAUUAUGGCAUGGUUACAUGUGAAGGGUGUAAAGGAUUUUUUAAGAGAACAGUACAAGGAAGGAGAAUCUAUAAAUGUUCGGGAAAAGAAGACUGUGCAAUGAAUAGACUGCUUAGGAAUCGAUGUCAAUAUUGUAGAUUUAAAAAGUGUCUGAAAGUUGGAAUGGUCUUAUCAGCGGUUAGAGAAGAUCGAAUGCCUGGAGGAAGGAACUCAGGUGCUGUUUACAACUUAUACAAGGUUAAAUACAAGAAGUACAAGAAAAAACAAGAUAUGAUGUCUUUGUACAAAGAGGAAGUUGGAAAAGUUAAAUUAAUUGAAGAUCAGGCACCAAAAAUGGUAGAAAAUAUUGUUGAAUCAUGUUUUUUUCAUCAUGCUGACAGAAAGGACAAAUCAUUAGGAAAAAAACAAGACAAUAGAGGUGAAUAUGGAAAUGAAUGGUCUAGGAAACAACAACAUUUGACUGCCUCAAAAAAUAAAUACAUAUGCAAAAUACUCAAUUCUCCACAUGAGUUGUCAACUAAUACAGGUUGUCAGCAAGAUCAGUUGCGAAUCCUUGAAAACAUGGUUCAGUGUAUUCCACAAGAUGAGAAAGCUUAUGAUUCAAAGUCUACUUAUGGUAAUGAAAAACUGGAGUAUAACAGUUCAGUUAAUUCUGAUAUUACUUCUUUUACUUCCUGCUCUCCGGGAAUGUUUGGUUUGAAUAAAAACUUAACAGAUCCUCCCAGAGCCACUUCAAUCACAAAACAUCAGGAAAAUGCUGUUAAGAAGGAUUCAAGUGUGUACUAUGAUCACAGCACAAAAAGUCCUAAAUAUUUAAUUGUUGACCAUGGGGAAGAUAGCUCAAGUUUAAAGUCUCCUGUGACUGACCAUGACUUAUCAUUUGAAGACUUUCACAGACCUCACAAUAUUGCAAAACCUACUUUUUCCUUAUGUAAAGAAGAUGAUGAAGGGUACAAACAGAAUGAAAUUAAUUUGAGACAGCCACCUCCUUGGAUGCACCAAAUUAAUACCAAUAAAAACAAUGAUAGUACCAAUUUACAUCAUUGUGGUCAAUCAAGAAGUUCAUGGGAAAAUGCCAAUUUUCCACUUACAGAAGACCAUCUUAACAUGUUUAAUAGAGGGAAGACUUCUAAGUAUCAUCAAAAUAUCUCACAACUGCCAGGACGUUCUUCUAAACAUCAUCGUGAAAUUGGCCUUGAUUUAACAAAAAUUCCAGGAAAUAGGGAUAUUGCAUAUGAUCCUACAAGUCUCUGGGUGAACACCAACAAAACAUAUUCCCAAUCUGAUGUAGAUUUAACAGAGUAUGUUUCUGAUAAAAAGUGUACUUCUUAUAGAAAGCAUAAUGUUGAAUGUAGAGCAGCAACCAAGAAGACAGAAACAGGUACAAUAGGCAAGUCUGAAAAAAGUCAUAGUCAGUUUGGUGGUGAUGAAAAGAAAGAUUCUGAGUGUUGUUUCCUGAUUGGAGUAGAUUUAUCAAGUCAUUUGAUCUCAGACUCAAGUUUAUUAGAAAAGGAAGGAAUCUCUGAUUGUACAGGCAAAAUAAGUGACCAGAAUAGCUUGGAUUUUAAUACAUCUAAAAGUUUCAGUGUCUCGCCUCAAUAUGAUGAGAGUGAUAUUAAAGUUUCAGAUGACCAUACUGCCACAGUUGAGGAGGAAGGGAGUGAAAUCACUAAAGAAAGCCAUGAAAAUGACAAACAAAAUUCAAUCAUUCAAAAGCUAUCACCCUGGUUCCAAAGUACAGGAAACUUACAAAGUUUCAUAGGACAAACCGAUAACAGAUUGUCUGAAAUCCUCAAUUGCUUAAAAUACUUAAAGGUGGAGUUUGAUAUCAGCAUGAUUAAUGACUCUGCUGAUAAAGUCAUGAAAAACAUGUGUGAUGUAGGGGACAAUUUUGUAACCAAUUUAGUUACGUGGACAAAACAUCUUCCCUUUUACGGUGAAGUACCUACUGAAGUAUAUUCUGAGCUUCUAACAGAAAAAUGGCACAAGAUGAUUAUCCUAUUAACAUCAGCUCAGCCAGUUUUAAGGAAAGUUGAGAUGUCCGCUACCUUUGAUGUAUUUCAUCAACAAAAGUUGAGAAAUGUGAAAAUUUGUUUGAAAAAAUUAUUCAAAAAGAACUUGGGGACUGACAUUAUUAGUUCAAAUAUGGAUUUGUUCAUCAGACAUAUGUGUAAAAUCAUGUUUACAUUUCAUUUAUUGCUGUUGAAAGAAGAGGAGUAUGCAUGCUUGCAGGUCAUAUUAUUACUCAAACAAGGUGAUGGGAAAAGAAAUGAAAUUGUUGCCAGAAUUCAUGACCAAUAUGUUGAAGUGUUAAAAAGUUUUACUGACAGUGCUCAUGGAGAUGUCGCAGGCCAUGUUCACCGCUUGGACAAGUUAUUAUUACAACUCCCAGAAAUACAAAUGGCUUCAGAUAUUCUAUUGGAAACAAAAAUGAUUUAUAUUCCAUUUUUUCUUAAUUUGUGAAUAUAAAUCUGAUCCGCAAUUUACCAAAUGUAGACUUAAUGUAUAUAUAUAUAUAUAUAUACUUAAACAUCAUCAGACAGUGAAACUGUCUUCAUGCUUAUAUGAGAUUAACAGUGACUACUUAUAAAAUAAACUUACAUUUAAUGUUGGAUUUUGAACUUACCCUUAUUUUCAACUGAUUUUUAUACGACCGCAAACAAAUUUUUGUGGUCGUAUAUUGGUAUGACGUUGGCGUCGUCGUCCGAAGACACAUUAGUUUUCACACUCUAACUUUAGUUUAAGUGAAUGGAUCUCAAUGAAAUUUUACCAUAAGGUUCAAUACCACAAAAGGAAGGUGGGGAUUGAUUUUGGGGGUUAUGGUACCAACAGUUAAGGAAUUAGGGGCCAAAAAUAAGCAUUUUUGUAACUUCCAGACAUAACUUGUGUGUAAGUGUAUGGAUCUCUCUGACAUUGUACCACAAGGUUCCAUAUCACAAAGGGAAUGCUGGGAUUGAUUUUGGGGGUAAUUGCCUCCAAAUUUUAGGAAUUAGGGGCCAAAAAACAAGCAUUUUUCUAGUUUCAUGACAAUAACUUGUGUGUAAGAGUAUGGAUCUUUAUGAAAUUGUACUACAAGGUUCCAUAUCACAAAAGGAAAGCUGGAAAUGAGUUUGGGGGUAAUUGACCAAAAAGCUUACGAAGAAGGGGCCAAAAAGGGGCCAAAUAUAAGCAUUUUUCUAGUUUCCAGACAAUUACUUGUGUUCAACUGUAUGGAUCUCUCUGAAAUUGUACUGCAAGGUACCAUACCACAAAGGGAAGGCUGGGAUUGAUUUUGGGGGUAAUUCCCUCAAAAUUUUAGGAAUUAGGGGCCAUAAAAGGGCAUUUUAUUUUUAUAUGCAAUGAUUCCAUACACCAGAUAUAUAUCGGACCUGUUGCCUUUAGUAUCUAUCUGAAAAACAGACAUAACCAUGGACAUUGACUUAAGAAGUGAUGAUCAAUGAACAUGAGGUCAAGGUAAGAUGAAACUUGCCAGACAGACAUGUACAUUUUACAAUCAUUGCUUACAGUAUCUUAGAAAUAGACCAAACUGACUAAACUUAACAUUUCCCAAUGAACCAUGAAAAAGGUCAAGGUCAAAUAAGCCUGCCAGAAAAAAAAAGUACACCUUUCAAUUUUUCCAUAUACCAUAUAGAGCUGAUCUUUUGCUUAUAGUAUCCAAGGCAGAGAUUGAAAAUAAAUGGGGAAUGAGUCCAUGGGACACAGAUGAUGCCCCCCCCUUGCGUAUCAUAUAAAGUUAUAAAGGGACAUAACUGAAGAACGGUAAAAGUGACUCUACCAAAGUUCAAACUUGAUCUGUAUUUUGUGGUAAUAAACAUUUGGUUGAGGCAAACUAAGAGAACGGAAACGAAAAAUUCAGCAAUUUUCCCAUUUGUGAAGGGGCAUAACUCUAGAACGGUUAAAGUGACACCACCAAAAUUCAAACUUGAUCUGUAUUUUGUGGCAAUAAGCAUUGUGUAUAAGUUUCAUAACAUUUGGUUGAGGCAAACUAAAUUUUAGAGAACGGAAACCAACAUUGGGAUGUACGGACGUACAGAUGGACAAGGGUAAAACUUAAUGCCCCCUCUGCUACGGCGGGGGCAUAAAAAUUAUUUUUUACAUUGACCAAUGAGCCAUUAAAAUGAAGUCAAGGUCAGACAAAAUCUACAGUCAAACAUGUACACCUUACAAUCAUUCCAAACACCAAAUAUAGUUGACGUUUUGCUUAUGAUAUCUGAGAUAUGGACUUAACCCCCGCUUGCAUAUCAUAUAAAGUUAUAAAGGGACAUAACUGAAGAACAGUAAAAGUGACACUACCCAAAUUUGUACUUGAUCUGAGUUUUGUGGUAAUAAGUAUUGUGUAUAAGUUUCAUAACAUUUGGUUGAGGCUAACUUAAGUUAGAGAACGAAAAUGUAAAAUUCAGUAAUUUUUCCAUUUGCAUAACUCUAGAACGGUUAAAGUGACACCACCAAAAUUCAAACUUGAUCUGUAUUUUGUGGUAAUAAGCAUUGUGUAUAAGUUUGACUUUCAUAACAUUUGGUUGAGGCAAACUAAAGUUAGAGAACAGAAACCAACUUUGGGACGUACGGACGGACAAGGGUAAAACUUAAUGCCCCUCCGCUAUGACGGGGGCAUAAAAAAAACAUGAAUUCAAACAAAAUUUAGUUUUGGACCCUUUGGACCUUAAUAUGGACUAAUUUGAAAACAGGACCCAAAAUUAAUAAACUGCUUCGCUGAGCGCAGCUAGAUACGCCCGCAGAGGUCCAACCCUGAACAGUUGGGGCAAAAAUGGACACAAUAUUCAAGCUUGAUUCAGGUCUGACUUUGGAUUGUAAUUAAAUAUUUGACAUAUAAUAGGUUUCUGAAUAAAUGUAGUCAAAGAACUUGAAAUUGGUUAUAUGAAUUGAAUAUAUAUUCCAUUAAAGAUUUCUUGCUAUUGUACAAUACUUAGUAAAUCUGUUGUCAAGACUAUAAACAAAUAAAGUUCAAUUAAUUCCCAAUGUCAUAUUAGAAAUUUAUGAAAAUAAAAAAGGAGCUUACAUCAAUAGAUAUAAACAAUUCACCAAAGUUUCAUGAGAAUUGGUGACAGCAUUUUAGAGUUAUUGUCCGAAAACUGGAAAAUCACCCCCUUUUUUUAAUGUAUAAAACCCCAUAACUCAGAAAUGUAAAAUGUAAAAUUUAUAAAAUUCUAAAAGGAGCUUACAUCAAUACAUACAAACAAUUCACCAAAGUUUCAUAAGAACUGCUGAAAGCAUUUUUGAGUUUUUGUCCGAAAACUGGAAAAUCCCCCCUUUUUUUAUGAAUAAAACCCAUAACUCGGAAAAGUAAAAUCUAAAUUUUAUAAAAAAACGAAAGGGAGCUCACGUCAAUAGAUAUAAACAAUUCACCAAAGUUUUAUGCAAAUUGGUUAAAGCAAUUUUGAGUUAAUGUCCGACAUGUUGACAUCGGUAUACCAUAAUACGCCCCGUAAAUGGGCGUAUAAAAAUCUAAAUGCACAGUUAGAUUCAGCAUAUCAUAGAACCACAAAGUUAGAGUGCGUAAACCAAUAUGUCUUCGGACAAUGACGACGAUGCCAACGUCAUACCAAUAUACGACCCCAAAACUUUUUUGCGGUCGUAUAAAAACCUCAAACAAUUCAAGAUUUUAAAUUAAUCCUCAUUGAAAUUGGUUAAAAGAUUUGUAUUUAUUUUCAAUUGAAGAUUUCUUGCUGUUGUGCAAAACUUUGCUGUUGCGCAAUACUUAGUAAAUCUGUUUUCAAACUGAAUAUAAUAAUUUACACACCCUGUUUGGUGUGUAUCUCCUGCCAUAUCAGUAUUUGUUGUUUCUUUAUAUAGAUCAGAAAUAAUUUAUGUUAGAACCAGCUUAGCCAGUAUUAGAAAGGUCUUGUUUUAGGCCCCUAUUUGGCCUCUAGUUUCUUAACCAUUAAAGCCACAACCCACAAAAUCCUUCCCAACCUUCUGCGUGUGGUAUGGAACCUUGUGGUACAAUUUCAUAGAGAUCCAUGGACUAAUACUUAAGUAUUUGUCCGGAAACUAGAAUAAACUGCUUCGCUGAGCGCAGCUGGAUAUGACCGCAGAGGUCCAACCCUGAACAGUUGGGGCAAAAAUGGACACAAUAUUCAAGCUUGAUACAGGUCUGAAUUUGGAUUGUAAUUAAAUAUUUGACACAUUAUAGGUUUCUGACACAGAAUAAAUGUAGUCAAAGAACUUGAAAUUGGUUAUAUGAUUUGAAUUUAUAUUCAAUUGAAGAUUUCUUGCUGUUGUGCAAUACACUGUGCUGUUGCGCAAUUCUUAGUAAGUCUGUUUUCAGACUAUGUACAAAGAAUAAGAAAAAUAAAUUGUGACCCCAAAUUUUUCUUUGGAAAAUUGACAAUUUCUUAAAUCUUGAGAAAAAAAUAUUGACCAACCCCUCCAAAACAAAUUUGUUUUUUAACCCCCCCCCCUUUUUUGCAGAAAUUUUCUUUUUAAUUUCUUAAAUCUUGUUGAAAAAAAAUAAUGAAAUUCCUGAACAGUUUGGGCAAUUACCCCCAAAAUGAAUCCCAACCUUCUACUUGUGGUAUUGAACCUUGUGGUACAAUUUCAGAGCAAUCAAAAUACUUAUACACAAUUUAUUGUCCUGAAACUAGAAAAAUGCUUGUUUUGGUACCCCUUUUUGGCCCCUAAUUCCUAAAUGGUUGGGACCAUCAACCCCAUACUACCUUUUGUGGUAUUGAACCUUUUGAUAAAAUUUCAUAGAGAUCCAUACACUUAAACUAAAGUUAUUGUCCGGAAACCAAAUGUCUUCGGACGACGACGACGCUGACAACAACGUGAUAGCAAUAUACGACCCCAAAUUUUUUUGCGGUCGUAUAAAAAUGCCUUUUUUGGCAUCUUUUUUACCCUUAAUUCCAAAACAGUUGGGACCAUAACC